rnacentral:rRNA from 1 species
GAUGAACGCUGGCGGCGUGCCUAAUACAUGCAAGUCGAGCGAACAGACGAGGAGCUUGCUCCUCUGACGUUAUCGGCGGACGGGUUAGUAACACGUGGAUAACCUACCUAUAAGACUGGGAUAACUUCGGGAAACCGGCGCUAAUACCGGAUAAUAUAUUGAACCGCAUGGUUCAAUAGUGAAAGACGGUUUUGCUGUCACUUAUAGAUGGAUCCGCGCCGCAUUAGCUAGUUGGUAAGGUAACGGCUUACCAAGGCAACGAUGCGUAGCCGACCUGAGCGGGUGAUCGGCCACACUGGAACUGAGAAACGGUCCAGACUCCUACGGUAGGCAGCAGUAGGGAAUCUUCCGCGAUGGGCGAAAGCCUGACGGAGCAACGCCGCGUGAAUGAUGAAGGUGUUAGGAUCGGAAAACUAUGUUAUUAGGGAAGAACAAAUGUGUAAGUAACUAUGCACGUCUUGACGGUACCUAAUCAGAAAGCCACGGCUAACUACGUG